UACGGAGGGGACUAGCGUUGUUCGGAAUUACUGGGCGUAAAGCGCACGUAGGCGGAUUUGUAAGUCAGGGGUGAAAUCCCGGGGCUCAACCUCGGAACUGCCUUUGAUACUGCAAAUCUCGAGUCCGGAAGAGGUGAGUGGAAUUCCUAGUGUAGAGGUGAAAUUCGUAGAUAUUAGGAAGAAACACCAGUGGCGAAGGCGGCUCACUGGUCCGGUACUGACGCUGAGGUGCGAAAGCGUGGGGAGCAAACAGG
rnacentral:rRNA from 1 species